rnacentral:rRNA from 1 species
UACGGAGGAUGCGAGCGUUAUCCGGAUUUAUUGGGUUUAAAGGGUGCGUAGGCUGUGAGGUAAGUCAGCGGUGAAAUGCCCCCGCUCAACGGGGUGAAGUGCCAUUGAUACUGCCUUGCUGGAAUGCGGAUGCCGUGGGAGGAAUGUGUGGUGUAGCGGUGAAAUGCAUAGAUAUCACACAGAACACCGAUUGCGAAGGCAGCCUGCCAAGCCAUGACUGACGCUGAUGCACGAAAGCGUGGGUAUCGAACAGG